rnacentral:rRNA from 1 species
GUACACAAAAAUGCACAUACUGUGAGCUCGAUGAGUAGGGCGGGACACGUGGUAUCCUGUCUGAAUAUGGGGGGACCAUCCUCCAAGGCUAAAUACUCCUGACUGACCGAUAGUGAACCAGUACCGUGAGGGAAAGGCGAAAAGAACCCCGGCGAGGGGAGUGAAAAAGAACCUGAAACCGUGUACGUACAAGCAGUGGGAGCCUCUUAAUGGGGUGACUGCGUACCUUUUGUAUAAUGGGUCAGCGACUUAUAUUCUGUAGCAAGGUUAACCGAAUAGGGGAGCCGAAGGGAAACCGAGUCUUAACUGGGCGUUAAG